rnacentral:rRNA from 1 species
UACGGGGGGUGCAAGCGUUACUCGGAAUCACUGGGCGUAAAGAGCAUGUAGGCGGAUUAAUAAGUUUGAAGUGAAAUCCUAUAGCUUAACUAUAGAACUGCUUUGAAAACUGUUAAUCUAGAAUGUGGGAGAGGUAGAUGGAAUUUCUGGUGUAGGGGUAAAAUCCGUAGAGAUCAGAAGGAAUACCGAUUGCGAAGGCGAUCUACUGGAACAUUAUUGACGCUGAGAUGCGAAAGCGUGGGGAGCAAACAGGAUUAGAUACCCUGGUAGUCCACGCCCUAAACGAUGUACACUAGUUGUUGUGAGACUUGAUCUUGCAGUAAUGCAGUUAACACAUUAAGUGUACCGCCUGGGGAGUACGGUCGCAAGAUUAAAACUCAAAGGAAUAGACGGGGACCCGCACAAGCGGUGGAGCAUGUGGUUUAAUUCGACGAUACACGAAGAACCUUACCUGGACUUGACAUAGUAAGAACUUUCUAGAGAUAGAUUGGUGUCUGCUUGCAGAAACUUAUAUACAGGUGCUGCACGGCUGUCGUCAGCUCGUGUCGUGAGAUGUUGGGUUAAGUCCCGCAACGAGCGCAACCCUCGUGUUUAGUUGCUAACAGUUCGGCUGAGAACUCUAAACAGACUGCCUACGCAAGUAGGAGGAAGGUGAGGACGACGUCAAGUCAUCAUGGCCCUUACGUCCAGGGCUACGCACGUGCUACAAUGGGAUAUACAAAGAGCGGCAAUACGGUGACGUGGAGCAAAUCUUAUAAAAUAUCUCCCAGUUCGGAUUGUAGUCUGCAACUCGACUACAUGAAGUUGGAAUCGCUAGUAAUCGUAGAUCAGCUAUGCUACGGUGAAUACGUUCCCGGGUCU